rnacentral:lncRNA from 1 species
CUAGACUCAGGUUCAAGUCAGAAAGUCAAGGCAGAAUCGUCUGAGUCAGAGCCUGUUGUUAAAGCUCUAAAAAGUGUGUUCAAAUUCCUGGCUGGAGAUCUAAGAAGAGAGGAAGGAGCACAUUCAGAACUGGGGGUCACAGAAGAAACUUUAAGCCGAAAGGAGCCCUAGUGUGUGGAAUGGCACUUGCAGGAAGCAGCUGAAGAAAUUGUUUUUCCUGGAAAGUCAGCCAUAUGGUGCCACAGAGGUGGAAGUAAGCCCUGAGUGGAACUACAAAGACCAGAAAGUGAAUCAUCGUUGGAAGAGUCUUGACAGUCUUACCAAACAAGAAGAAAAGAAGAAGCCUGAUACAACUUAAUUUUUUUCCUGUUGGUUAGAAUAUUACAAGAGAGAUAGCACCACACCCCUCUAAGGAAUGCUCCACUUCUGACCAACUCCUUUCACAUCGGCAACUGUUGCCACGGUUCUUGUCUGAGACCCCAGAGAGCUGUUCUGAAUUGUCUCUUGGAUUCAUCCGGGCACCCUUCCAUUACUGUUGGCUUCUAGUAGUCAUGGAAAUUACAAGUUGUCCUGUUUAGUGUGGCAGCUGGAUUAUACAUCCCCAUAUGUGGUCAUAUGACACAGUGACACCAGUCUGGACCAUGUGACUACUUGCCCAGUGGAAUGUACACAGAAGUAGAGUAUACUGUAACCAAGCAGAAGCUUUGAGAACCCUAGUGUCCUUCAGCCAUUUCUCCCUCCCUCUGCAAUGCCAAAGUCACACCCCCACAGGAACUGAUCCUUUCAGCCUGGCUCCUGGAAUGAGAAGAUAGAUAGAGAGGAG